rnacentral:tRNA from 1 species
GUUUCCGUAGUGUAGCGGUUAUCACGUCUGCUUCACACGCGGAAGGUCCCCGGUUCGAUCCCGGGCGGGAACA